rnacentral:snRNA from 1 species
AGCUUUGCGCAGUGGCAGUAUCGUAGCCAAUGAGGUUUAUCCGAGGCGCGAUUAUUGCUAAUUGAAACAAAGUGUGCUUCUC